rnacentral:rRNA from 1 species
UUAAACACAUGGCAAAGUUCCGAGCGGGCACUCUUCGGAGUACAACUCAGUGACGUGUGAGUUGGGCGAACCGGCGCCAUGUGAGAGGGAUGGAAGUAACGGUCACCACACCUGAGUUCGGAGGAUAGACCGUUAGAGGAACCGUGGAGAGAAUACAUACACUUAUUCACCGUCGUCAGGCGUGUCUUCGAGGGCCGGCCUUCCGCUCUGUAAUGGAUCAGGCCGCCUCGCGCGCGAGUCGAGCGCGAUGGGUGCAGUAGUGGACCAUUAGUUAGCGGUAGGUGUGAGCGGGUAGCCUAAGCACCGCCCACAGAAUGGCCUUAACGCAGUGGUGGUUGACGAGGCGGCUGAGGACGCUAGCCACCUCGGUCCACCGCGGAACCGCCUGGCAGCAGCACGUGCCUACAGAGGUAUCGUCUCGUGGGUGCGCAGGCAUCGCUACAAGAUUUGUGCGAGCGCGAAGGCGAUGGACAGAGACGCCGAAAGCACAGGGCC